ACGGAGGCUACAUAUGCGCAAAUAUUCCUGCGCAACCGGAAAAGAUACAUCAAAGGCUAGGGCACUAGUGGAUGACGGAGACAUUGCCUCACAAAUGCUACCUCUGUCGUACAAAUAUGUUUUUUCAUCCAAAAAGGUAAACGCUUCGGGCCGCAAAACAGCGUAAAACCCCAAACUGUCUGCCGGAGCAGUACAGUGAAGAAGUGAGGAAUGCGAAAACGAUGGAGUACAACAGAGAAAGAAGGAACGCAAUGCAUUACAACACUGCGAAUGCUACGACACGGCGGGUCCACGGCGAAAAUGCACGGCGAGAUACUUCAACAAAUCAAAACAUGUCAUCGGAAUCCUCAUUCCAACCACGAUCGACUAGAAGACGUCGUCGGUUCCGUCGUCGAAGAAACUGUAAUAACCCAAAUCGAGCAGCGUUUCCGGACACCAGCAGCUCACCUAUUAUGGAAGCUGUUGCAUCGCUUAUAAACGGAACGCAGAACGAGGACAUACAGAUGUGUAUGUCCUUGGCAACUCUUUUUCGCCGACUACCAUCCGAUCGCAAGAUUGCAGUGUACGCAUCCAUACAAACAUACAUCAUCCGUCAACUUCUUGGUGCAGAACACCAUGAUGUUGUCAGUGAUCCAUGCAUCGUAGAUGUAUCUACCCGUAGGGAAGAUUUGAAUAGUGUAGAAGUUAAAAGACCGCCUGAGGAACGAUAAUAUUUGAUAAAACUCUUCUUGUAAUAAUAAAGUAAUUUGAAACAAAUUUAAUUUGUUAGUUUCAAAAUUUGAAACUUGAUUGCAAAAAAAAAAAAUCCUUACUAAAAAGCCGAUUGGUUUUUAACAGAUUAAAGCAAUAGAAAUAAAUCAAUGGAAUGUAGCUAUCAUUCUGAACUUUAUAAAUUACUGAAUUAUCAUUGGGUUUUUUAUAAUUAGUUUAACUUUGAAAAAUGAUGUAAUUUGAAACAUUAUUAAAAAUUAUUAAAAAUAAAAAAUAAACGUAAAAAGAUAAAAAA